AGUGUGAAGGCCCUGUUCCCUAGGAAACUUUGUGAAUGGGAUUAAUUCUAUAGAUAGGUGAAUACUGUGCCCUAUUCAAAGGACCAUUCUAAUUAAUGAUUUAAAACAUUUUCCCUUUGACAGCACAACUCUACAGUAUCAACUGGUUUCUCGUACUUUUCUUACUAUUUCAAGAUCUAGUCCACCAAAAAGAAAUAUCUGCUAGGCAUGGUUGCUCACACCCGUAAUCCCAGUGACUCAGGGGGCUCAGGCAGGAGGAUCACAAGUUCAAAGCCAGCCUCAGCAAUUUAGCAAGUCCCUAAGCAACUUAGCAAGACCCUGAAUCAAAACAAAAAAUAAAAAGGGCUGGGGAUGCGGUUUAGUGGUUAAGUUCCCCUGGGUUCAAUCCCCAAUGUGGACGGGGGUGGGGAACAGAGAAAAAAAUAUCUGAGAUGGGUAAGCAUUGCAAAGAUUUUUCUGUGAAUAUUCCACAGCUCUUGAGGAGAAACAGAGCAAGCAUUUGAAAACUCGCUUAUGCCCUCUAGCUAGCUUUCUUUUGUUCUUUUUUAUUUGAGAGUACAGUCCAUCUAGCCCUUGAAUCUUAGCUGGUGGACAAGAAAGAUACAUUUGUAAAG
rnacentral:lncRNA from 1 species